GGGCGAUUAGCUCAGUUGGGAGAGCACCUGCCUUACAAGCAGGGGUCACUGGUUCGAACCCGGUAUCGCCCACCA
rnacentral:tRNA from 4 species